GGAGAAAGAGGACGGCCGACGGUAGGGUUUACACCCAGCUGAGGAAAUUCCCCUCUCCAUGAGAGAAGUGGACCGAAUAAUAGGUACGGCGAGAGCCGUGGCAAGGGCACAGAAACGACACAGUUCCAUUUAAGGGUGAACUGCUAGGCAGGGACGUUUGUGGAAAUUUGGUGAAACGGCGACCCCCCACUGGAGCAAGUCCAAACAGCCGGGAUGACGAUCUCAGGACUGGCGGGUAGGAUGCGUAGUUGAAUGCCGUCUGAAACAGAAAGGGGAUUACUACUU
rnacentral:RNase_P_RNA from 1 species